rnacentral:rRNA from 1 species
CAGUCGCCACGGUAAUACGUAGGUCCCGAGCGUUGUCCGGAUUUAUUGGGCGUAAAGUGAGCGCAGGCGGUUAGAUAAGUCUGAAGUUAAAGGCUGUGGCUUAACCAUAGUACGCUUUGGAAACUGUUUAACUUGAGUGCAAGAGGGGAGAGUGGAAUUCCAUGUGUAGCGGUGAAAUGCGUAGAUAUAUGGAGGAACACCGGUGGCGAAAGCGGCUCUCUGGCUUGUAACUGACGCUGAGGCUCGAAAGCGUGGGGCGCAAACAGGAUUAGAUACCCCUGUAGUCCCUGUCUCUUAUACA